rnacentral:lncRNA from 1 species
CCCCCCGGCUAAUGCCUCCAACGCCUGUACGUACAAUAAACAUAGCAGCAACUGCACAUAUACCUAUGUGACCAACUUCAAUCCGACGUAACUGCGAGCACCUUCGAUACUAAUACAUUUAAAUCCCAAACUUUAUAUAGUACCUUUAAACCCCACCCAUAAAAACCGCCAAAACUUUCCUCGUGCCUCCUGCACCUAACACCAAACUUAUAAAUAGUACAUACUGUUACAAAACCAGUAUCCGAACUAGUUAUACUAGUUCCCAUCUGUAAAUAUUAACUACAAAUAGCAAACGGGAAAAACCCUAUUUCAAACGAAAUAAAAUACAUUUAAAUUCUCCCUCGCCCUGCUCGUCCGAAUUUAAAGCAUUUAAUUUCUAAUUCAAUAGGCUAUAAACAAGACAAACACAGAUAUAGGAUUAGUUGCUCGCAGUAACAUCGAAACAAAGGAAAUGAAACAGUUCAGAAUAAGAUGCUGAUAUAAAAAGUCUUUUGAGAUAUUGCUAAUUGAAGAUAAAUCUUCAACCACUAAACUGGACCAAUAUCAGUUUCAAGUCGACAAUCGGAACGUCAAAUACGACAUAUUGAACCGGAAGCUUCCGCAAUAGAUGGUUAUGCAGACAAAUGUUUUGCAAAUCUUGAAUCGAUGGAUAAUUUCUCAAACUGUUUUCCUUGAUUCUGUAAAUAGAAGAACACAAUCAAAACUUCAUACAUACAUGUACUUGUAUCUUAAUCAGAUAAACAUUAAACUCUAUAGAUAUAUACAUAUUUCAUAUCUAUAUACAUCAACUUCUAAUCAUACUAUGUGAUUCUUUAUGUUACACACUGCAACAUAGCUCAUGAAAGUCUAAACAUAUAUGCAUCUCAGAUCUACAUACAUCAACUUCUAAUCACACUGUGAUCCUUUAUGUCACACUGCGCAACAUAGCUCAUGAAAGUCUAAACAUAUAUGCAUCUCAGAUCUACAUACAUCAACUUCAUAUCACACUGUGUGAUCCUAUUGUUGCAUUCAUAAAAAUCUAAACAUAUAUAUAUAUAUAUAUCUAUUAUAUCAACAACAACAAAAAACAAAGUCUACAGCUAUGUCUGAAGCUCUGACUUUGUACAAGGUUUCUUAUUAUCUUUGUUACAUUUUUAUUAUCGAUUUUAAAUUAAAAAAAGUUUUCCACUCAAUAUGUUAUGUACCAUGUGUACGGACUGUAAAAUAUUACUGCUUACCGUUUUAAAAUCUCUCCAAGUUGAACUCUUGGUACUGUCCGAUUUAUCUCACAUAAAAACGGGCUACUUUUUAUACCUACACCUGCAUAUUUGUGGCAUCCGGGAAAUAAUUAGCACAUACAUAAGGUCUCCAAUAUGGUACUAAAACUCUGAUCGUUUUAUAGUAAAUGCGACCUGCUGAUAAAAUAAAAUCAAAAUUGUGGUAUUUAAUGAAAAAACAUAUAAAAUUGAUGAUUAUUACAAGUCUCAUCUUCAAAUCAAUUGUAUACAUAUAUUUAAUUAUGUACAAAAGUUAAUGCCUUCAUAUUUAAUCUUUUGUUUUCUGUAUAUUAAUUUAACUAUACAACAUCCCAUGGUGCAUUGUGCAACCAAUCACAUCGCUCCCAGCGACAACAUUCCAUGGUGCACUACACUGUGCAACCAAUCACAUCGCUCCCAGCGACAACAUUCCAUGGUGCACUACACUGUGCAACCAAUCACAUCGCUCCCAGCGAUCUAAUAAAAUAAAUUUCAUACAUACCAUUUCAAACUCAUCUGUAACUCGUAUCACUCUUCGUGACAAAAUCAUCUCACUGCGAGAAGAUUUAAACAUAUGUUGUUUCCAUGUCUCAAAUCUAGUACAAGUCUUACAAAUUCUUUACCUGAACUUUGUACUGAAACAGUAAUCAGAUUUUAUACAAAAGGUGGACACUGUAAUAUUUAGUGAGCAUUUCAUCUAUCAACUUUUAAAUAAAAGUUGCAUGCUUAAAAGCUGAUUUGUUUUCAUAUUAAUGAACUCAACAUGGUUCACAUGAUGAUUAUUACAAGUCUCAUCUUCAAAUCAAUUGUAUACAUAUAUUUAAUAAUGUACAAAAAGUUAAUGCCUUCAUAUUUAAUCUUUUGUUUUCUGUAUAUUAAUUAAAACUAUACAACAUCCCAUGGUGCAUUGUGCAACCAAUCACAUCGCUCCCAGCGACAACAUUCCAUGGUGCACUACACUGUGCAACCAAUCACAUCGCUCCCAGCGACAACAUUCCAUGGUGCACUACACUGUGCAACCAAUCACAUCGCUCCCAGCGACAACAUUCCAUGGUGCACUACACUGUGCAACCAAUCACAUCGCUCCCAGCGAUCUAAUAAAAUAAAUUUCAUACAUACCAUUUCAAACUCAUCUGUAACUCGUAUCACUCUCCGUGACAAAAUCAUCUCACUGCGAGAAGAUUUAAACAUAUGUUGUUUCCAUGUCUCAAAUCUAGUACAAGUCUUACAAAUUCUUUACCUGAACUUUGUACUGAAACAGUAAUCAGAUUUAUACAAAAGGUGGACACUGUAAUAUUUAGUGAGCAUUUCAUCUAUCAACUUUUAAAUAAAAGUUGCAUGCUUAAAAGCUGAUUUGUUUUUCAUAUUAAUGAACUCAACAUGGUUCACAUGGUUCAGUAUUGAAUGGAAAUAUAUAACCAAAUUCUGUAGUAUUUUAAAAUAAAAUCAUAAACCUGUAAAACGGUUUUAAAAAAAAAAUAAAAGAACACAAAUAUAUUGAUUUUCGCUUCUAACUUAAUAAUACGUUCCAGGCAUGAUUUCAGAAUGUAAAUAAAGUCAACAUUAUACUCAACUCCGUCAUGUGAAAACAUGUUCCUCUUUCGCAUCGUUUCUUUCCCCCCGGCUAAUGCCUCCAACGCCUGUACGUACAAUAAACAUAGCAGCAACUGCACAUAUACCUAUGUGACAAACUUCAAUCCGACGUAACUGCGAGCACCUUCGAUACUAAUACAUUUAAAUCCCAAACUUUAUAUAGUACCUUUAAACCCCACCCAUAAAAACCGCCAAAACUUUCCUCGUG